rnacentral:rRNA from 1 species
UACAGAGGUGGCAAGCGUUGUUCGGAAUUACUGGGCGUAAAGGGCGCGUAGGCGGCCUUCUAAGUCAGACGUGAAAUCCCCAGGCUUAACUUGGGAACUGCGUCUGAUACUGGGAGGCUUGAGUGCGGGAGAGGGAUGUGGAAUUCCAGGUGUAGCGGUGAAAAUGCGUAGAUAUCUGGAGGAACACCGGUGGCGAAGGCGGCAUCCUGGACCGACACUGACGCUGAGGCGCGAAAGCUAAGGGGAGCAAACGGGGG